AUUUGGAGAUCGAAGAUUCCAUUGAAAGUUAAGAUCUUCAUGUGGUACCUUCGGAAGGGAGUGGUGCUAACCAAAGAUAACCUCGCUCGUCGCAACUGGCAUGGAAGCAAGAAGUGUGGCUUUUGUACUCAUGACGAGACAAUCAAACACCUCUUUUUCCAGUGCAAGUUUGCACGUUCUACGUGGUCAAUCAUCCAAAUAGCGUCUAAUCUUUAUCCGCCCACAGGUGUUGCCAAUAUUUUUGGUCACUAG
rnacentral:rRNA from 1 species